rnacentral:lncRNA from 1 species
CUGUGGGUUUGGCCAUGGAAGAAGUUAAAUUCUCUCAGUGAUUUUGUGAACUUGGCUUUCUUUAUGAUUCCUGUCUAUCUUUCCCCCAAAGGCUAGUUACUGAGCAAAUUCCUGUGAGAGCCCCCGAUGACUGUAAAAACCACCCCCUGAUAUGUAUAAUGUUCCAGACUGCAACAUGCUCAUGAAGGGAUCCAGGAAAAGACCACAUGUUGCUAAAGGGUGUCAAAAUUAAAACCAAACCAAACAAAAAUCCAGGAACUCAAGAAAAAGCAAAAACACACAAACAAAACUGUUUCCUAUCUUUGUCAUCUUUGUCCCUUUGUCUCUGACUUGACUCCUAAAAGCUAACCUAUAGCAUGAUGAGAGCAAGCCUAGUUCAUGUGGCCUGUGACCAAUUGUGUGGAGUGCUUCAAUGUGCUUUCUUCCGGUGGGAAAAUCUCCAGAAAAAGGUCACAAACACAGAGCUGACCUGAGUCCUGCC